rnacentral:sRNA from 1 species
AGGUGUAGAUGCUAAUAUAUGUGAUAGACAGAUGCUAAGGUGUGCAUACAGACAGAUGUUA